GGAGAUAUAGCUUAGUGGUAGAGUGCUUGCCUAGCAUGUAGAAGGCCCUAGAUUUGAUCCCUAGCACUGCCA
rnacentral:tRNA from 1 species